UAGGGAAUCUUCGGCAAUGGACGAAAGUCUGACCGAGCAACGCCGCGUGAGUGAAGAAGGUUUUCGGAUCGUAAAACUCUGUUGUUAGAGAAGAACAAGGACGUUAGUAACUGAACGUCCCCUGACGGUAUCUAACCAGAAAGCCACGGCUAACUACGUGCCAGCAGCCGCGGUAAUACGUAGGUGGCAAGCGUUGUCCGGAUUUAUUGGGCGUAAAGCGAGCGCAGGCGGUUUCUUAAGUCUGAUGUGAAAGCCCCCGGCUCAACCGGGGAGGGUCAUUGGAAACUGGGAGACUUGGGUGCAGAAGAGGAGAGUGGAAUUCCAUGUGUAGCGGUGAAAUGCGUAGAUAUAUGGAGGAACACCAGUGGCGAAGGCGGCUCUCUGGUCUGUAACUGACGCUGGGGCUGGAAAGCGUGGGGAGCAAACAGG
rnacentral:rRNA from 1 species